rnacentral:rRNA from 1 species
AGUUUGAUCCUGGCUCAGAUUGAACGCUGGCGGCAUGCUUUACACAUGCAAGUCGAACGGCAGCGGAGAGUGCUUGCACUCUGCCGGCGAGUGGCGAACGGGUGAGUAACAUAUUGGAACGUACCGAGUAAUGGGGGAUAACUAUCCGAAAGGAUAGCUAAUACCGCAUACGCUUUGAGAAGGAAAGUGGGGGAUCUUUGGACCUCACGUUAUUCGAGCGGCCAAUAUCUGAUUAGCUAGUUGGUGGGGUAAAGGCCUACCAAGGCGACGAUCAGUAGCGGGUCUGAGAGGAUGAUCCGCCACACUGGGACUGAGACACGGCCCAGACUCCUACGGGAGGCAGCAGUGGGGAAUUUUGGACAAUGGGCGCAAGCCUGAUCCAGCCAUGCCGCGUGUCUGAAGAAGGCCUUCGGGUUGUAAAGGACUUUUGUUAGGGAAGAAAAAGGAGCGGUUAAUACCCGUUUCUGUUGACGGUACCUAAAGAAUAAGCACCGGCUAACUACGUGCCAGCAGCCGCGGUAAUACGUAGGGUGCGAGCGUUAAUCGGAAUUACUGGGCGUAAAGCGAGCGCAGACGGUUACUUAAGCAGGAUGUGAAAUCCCCGGGCUCAACCUGGGAACUGCGUUCUGAACUGGGUAGCUAGAGUAUGUCAGAGGGGGGUAGAAUUCCACGUGUAGCAGUGAAAUGCGUAGAGAUGUGGAGGAAUACCGAUGGCGAAGGCAGCCCCCUGGGAUAAUACUGACGUUCAUGCUCGAAAGCGUGGGUAGCAAACAGGAUUAGAUACCCUGGUAGUCCACGCCCUAAACGAUGUCGAUUAGCUGUUGGGCAGCUUGACUGCUUAGUAGCGUAGCUAACGCGUGAAAUCGACCGCCUGGGGAGUACGGUCGCAAGAUUAAAACUCAAAGGAAUUGACGGGGACC